rnacentral:ncRNA from 1 species
GAGAUAGAGGUCGCGCGAAUCAAGAGUAGGUCGUUGGAUGUGUGCAGGCACAGGAGAAAGCGUCGGAAAGGGAAGAGCGCCGAAAGGCCGGAAGCCCUGUAGAAGCCGGUUCUUGGGCAUGGAAUGAAGAAUUUCAUGACUGUCAUCGUUUUCCGAUGAAGCGCUAUCCG